rnacentral:rRNA from 1 species
AGAGUUUGAUCCUGGCUCAGGAUGAACGCUAGCUACAGGCUUAACACAUGCAAGUCGAGGGGCAGCACGUGGGUAGCAAUACCCUGGGUGGCGACCGGCGCACGGGUGAGUAACGCGUAUCCAACCUGGCCCAUAGUAGGGAACAGCCCGGCGAAAGUCGGAUUAAUGCCCUAUGUUUUCCUCAGGGAGCAUUUUAUGAGGAACAAAGACUUGUCGCUAUGGGAUGGGGAUGCGUCCGAUUAGGCAGCAGGCGGGGCAACGGCCCACCUGGCCUUCGAUCGGUAGGGGUUCUGAGAGGAAGGUCCCCCACACUGGUACUGAGACACGGACCAGACUCCUACGGGAGGCAGCAGUGAGGAAUAUUGGUCAAUGGGCGUAGGCCUGAACCAGCCCAAGUAGCGUGCGGGAGGACGGCCCUAUGGGUUGUAAACCGCUUUUGCACGGGAAUAAAGUCGGGGACGUGUCCCUGUUUGCAUGUACCGUGAGAAUAAGGACCGGCUAAUUCCGUGCCAGCCGCCGC